rnacentral:rRNA from 1 species
UACGAAGGGGGCUAGCGUUGCUCGGAAUUACUGGGCGUAAAGGGAGCGUAGGCGGAUAGUUUAGUCAGAGGUGGAAAGCCCAGGGCUCAACCUUGGAAUUGCCUUUGAUACUGGCUAUCUUGAGUACGGAAGAGGUAUGUGGAACUCCGAGUGUAGAGGUGAAAUUCGUAGAUAUUCGGAAGAACACCAGUGGCGAAGGCGACAUACUGGUCCGUUACUGACGCUGAGGCUCGAAAGCGUGGGGAGCAAACAGG